UACAGAGGGUGCGAACGUUGUUCGGAAUUACUGGGCGUAAAGCGCGUGUAGGCGGCAGCGCAAGUCGGGCGUGAAAUCCCACGGCUCAACCGUGGAAGUGCACUCGAAACUGCGCAGCUAGAGUCCUGGAGAGGAAGGUGGAAUGCAUGGUGUAGAGGUGAAAUUCGUAGAUAUCAAGCGGAACACCGGUGGCGAAGGCGGCCUUCUGGACAGUGACUGACGCUGAGACGCGAAGGCUAGGGGAGCAAACAGG
rnacentral:rRNA from 1 species